UAUUGGACAAUGGGCGAAAGCCUGAUCCAGCAAUGCCGCGUGAGUGAUGAAGGCCUUAGGGUUGUAAAGCUCUUUUACCCGGGAUGAUAAUGACAGUACCGGGAGAAUAAGCUCCGGCUAACUCCGUGCCAGCAGCCGCGGUAAUACGGAGGGAGCUAGCGUUGUUCGGAAUUACUGGGCGUAAAGCGCACGUAGGCGGCUUUGUAAGUUAGAGGUGAAAGCCUGGAGCUCAACUCCAGAAUUGCCUUUGAUACUGCAUCGCUUGAAUCCAGGAGAGGUGAGUGGAAUUCCGAGUGUAGAGGUGAAAUUCGUAGGUAUUCGGAAGAACACCAGUGGCGAAGGCGGCUCACUGGACUGGUAUUGACGCUGAGGUGCGAG
rnacentral:rRNA from 1 species